rnacentral:rRNA from 1 species
AACUAACGCUGGCGGCGUGCCUAACACAUGCAAGUCGUACGAGAAAGGGUCCUUCGGGGCCUGAGUAAAGUGGCGCACGGGUGAGUAACGCGUGGAUAAUCUGCCCUUCAGUUGGGAAUAACUCAUCGAAAGGUGGGCUAAUACCGAAUAAUGCUGUGAGACCUCGGUUGAUCAGCCAAAGAGAGCCUCUGCUUGCAAGCCCUCGCUGAAGGAUGAGUCCGCGUACCAUUAGCUAGUUGGUAGGGUAAUGGCCUACCAAGGCGACGAUGGUUAGCUGGUCCGAGAGGAUGAUCAGCCACACUGGAACUGAGACCCGGUCCAGACUCCUACGGGAGGCAGCAGUGAGGAAUCUUGCGCAAUGGGGGCAACCCUGACGCAGCAACGCCGCGUGAGUGAGGGAGGUCUUCGGAUCGUAAAGCUCUGUCGGAUGGAAAGAACCGCAUAGGGGUAAACAGCCCCUGUGUCUGACGGUACCAUCAAAGGAAGCACCGGCUAACUCCGUGCCAGCCGCCGCCGUAAUAC